UGCUCUCAGAAAACAUUAAAGCUCCUAGACACCUUAUGAACACUCACACAGGUGUCUUGACUCUGCCUGAUUAGACCUCUUCUCAGGACUUUGUCCAAAUGCCACUCUCAUGUUGGUUAUGUUGCACCUGUUGACUGGGAGAAGUUACAUUUCUAUCAUGUAUAUUUAUGCUGCACUGAAGUCAAAGUCGGAGGUCACAAUUGCCCAGUUGACUUCAAUCUCAAAGUGUUCCAGCAAAAGGACGCCAAAGGCUGACUGUGACAAACUGAUGUUUUGUGGAGGGUGAACACAAUUGAACCCUCAUCAGAAGAGGAAAAACGAUGCAUAAGUGUGUGUGGACGGCGUGGCUCCCUGAUUUCCACACCUGUCUUUCAUCAUCCCAUCAUCAGCCACACUACAAGAACCCUGGUCUUCCCACUACUCAGGCCCAGAUUCUUUUCAACCCAUGUGUACCUCAGUAGACUCUGAAGCUGGAUUAUCAUCUACCAUCCCUCCUGUCUGAUCAAUGGCCAUAUCCUCCAUUACGCUGCUCCACCUUGCAUGCUGCCUGCCCUCCCUCCACACCCAACAUACCCUCCAUGUGUUUCCCUGAAUAAAUCUU